rnacentral:rRNA from 1 species
CCUACGGGAGACAGCAGUGGGGAAUAUUGGACAAUGGGGGGAACCCUGAUCCAGCCAUGCCGCGUGUGUGAAGAAGGCCCUCGGGUUGUAAAGCACUUUCAGUGAGGAAGAACGCCUGGUGGUUAAUACCCAUCAGGAAAGACAUCACUCACAGAAGAAGCACCGGCUAACUCCGUGCCAGCAGCCGCGGUAAUACGGAGGGUGCGAGCGUUAAUCGGAAUUACUGGGCGUAAAGCGCGCGUAGGUGGCUUGAUAAGCCGGUUGUGAAAGCCCCGGGCUCAACCUGGGAACGGCAUCCGGAACUGUCAAGCUAGAGUGCAGGAGAGGAAGGUAGAAUUCCCGGUGUAGCGGUGAAAUGCGUAGAGAUCGGGAGGAAUACCAGUGGCGAAGGCGGCCUUCUGGACUGACACUGACACUGAGGUGCGAAAGCGUGGGUAGCAAACAGGAUUAGAUACCCCAGUAGUC